UACGUAGGUGGCAAGCGUUGUCCGGAUUUACUGGGCGUAAAGGGAGCGUAGGCGGAUACUUAAGUGGGAUGUGAAAUACCUGGGCUUAACUUGGGUGCUGCAUUCCAAACUGGGUGUCUAGAGUGUUGGAGAGGAAAGUGGAAUUCCUAGUGUAGCGGUGAAAUGCGUAGAGAUUAGGAAGAACACCAGUGGCGAAGGCGACUUUCUGGACAAUAACUGACGCUGAGGCUCGAAAGCGUGGGGAGCAAACAGGAUUAGAUACCCUGGUAGUCCACGCCGUAAGCGAUGGGUACUAGGUGUAGGAGGUCUCGACUCCUCCUGUGCCGCCGUUAACACAAUAAGUACCCCGCCUGGGGAGUACGGUCGCAAGAUUAAA
rnacentral:rRNA from 1 species